rnacentral:lncRNA from 1 species
AUUUUGUGAACUUAGCCAUGUUCUAAUGUAAAAAUAGCUAAAGUCAUAAGGCAUGAAGAUUUUAAGUAGUAGUACUGAUUUGUGUGAGCAAAAGUAAUUAUUGAGGAGUAAUUGUGUACUUAAAAUUACUAGGAUUUUCGAUGUUUGUCUUUCUACAACUUUAUAGUAGACAUUGUACAUUACUUUUAUCCUCAGGAAGAAAGAAGGGCACAGUUACCUAAAUAUCAGCGAAAUCUUCCUCGACCAGGACAAACUCCGAUUGGUAAUCCACCAGUUGGACCAAUAGGGGGCAUGAUGCCACCACAGCCAGGCAUACCACAGCAGCAAGGAAUGAGGCCUCCAAUGCCACCUCAUGGUCAGUAUGGUGGUCACCAUCAAGGAAUGCCUGGUUAUCUUCCUGGCGCUAUGCCACCAUAUGGACAGGGACCACCAAUGGUGCCCCCUUACCAAGGUGGGCCUCCUCGACCUCCAAUGGGAAUGAGACCUCCUGUAAUGUCGCAAGGUGGCCGUUACUGAUCUUACUUCAAGUCUAAUAGGUUUUUAGAAGUGAAGUAUAGUAAAUUUGGUUCGUUAAAUUGUGAAGGCGCUGGAAUUACAUGAACAUACCACCUUAAAUAAAGCCCUGCCAUAGGACAGGCUGAGGCUGAGUCUCAGUGUUGCCCUGUUCAGUCUGAGCAGCAGAAUUUCAGCAUUUGCUACUUACUGGUAGAGAAGAAAAACCCCACAGCCCUGCCAGUACAGGUUAGUUUAAUCUUUUAUAAGAAUGGCGUAGAUACAGUGGAAAUGGUUUUCCUUAAAACCAUCUCUUUAAGAGCUGCCUUUCUGGUGAGUACUGCUUUAUAAUUUUUGUAUCACACUUUUUUUUAAGCUAGCUGGGAGGUGACAGUGAUUGAAAAGUGCAGUCCGAAUUGUCAAAGCUUGGACCAGAACCUUAAGGUGAUGGUUACUACCUGAUUCUCUAUGUUCCCUGUUUAGAUUCUCUUUUUUCCCCCUCAUUUCCCUAAAGGAUUGUGUGCAUAAAAACAUUGAACGCAGAUCAUUUGCUUUGGUGAGGGGAAAAAUUGUUUUGUUUUGGUUUUUUUUUUUUUUUUUAAUGUUUAAGAAAAUGUAGGGACAGGAGGCAUGGCUCACUAGUUAAGACCAUGUCAUACCCCAGGUGGUGGCAUCCACUCUGCAGGCAGAGACCAGUCAUCGCUGAGUUUCAGGACAACCAGGGCUGUAUAGAGGAGUCUCCCCCAAAGUGAAGGAAUGUGUCCUGCGUUUGUUGGAAUCAGUUGAGGUUCCCAGUGUGUGUCCUGGCUCACAACCACCGCUCCUUCAGGAUCUGACACCUUGAACUUUUGUGCUCAUAUACUUAAAACACAUGCAUACAAUUAAGAAAUACAUAUGUUUUAAAGAUCAAAGA